rnacentral:rRNA from 1 species
CAGCCGCCACGGUAAUACGGAGGGUGCAAGCGUUAAUCGGAAUUACUGGGCGUAAAGCGCACGCAGGCGGUCUGACAAGUCAGAUGUGUAAUCCCCGGGCUUAACCUGGGAACUGCAUUUGAAACUGUCAGGCUGGAGUCUUGUAGAGGGGGGUGGAAUUCCAGGUGUAGCGGUGAAAUGCGUAGAGAUCUGUAGGAAUACCGGUGGCGAAGGCGGCCCCCUGGACAAAGACUGACGCUCAGGUGCGAAAGCGUGGGGAGCAAACAGGAUUAGAUACCCCGGUAGUCCCUGUCUCUUAUAC